rnacentral:rRNA from 1 species
UACGGAGGGUGCAAGCGUUAUCCGGAUUCACUGGGUUUAAAGGGUGCGUAGGUGGGCAGGUAAGUCAGUGGUGAAAUCUCCGGGCUUAACCCGGAAACUGCCUUUGGUACUAUCUGUCUUGAAUACCGUGGAGGUGAGCGGAAUAUGUCAUGUAGCGGUGAAAUGCUUAGAUAUGACAUAGAACACCAAUUGCGAAGGCAGCUCACUACGCGAAUAUUGACACUGAGGCACGAAAGCGUGGGGAUCAAACAGG